CUGAUUAAUAUUUUAUCCAGUCCCGGCAAGGGGGCGCAGGGGUGUGCGGAAGCACCCCCUUGCUCCCGGAAAUUCCACCAAGGAUCUCCUUCCUUCCUCCUUCCGAUCGUUCCCUCUCCUCUGAUCUCGACACCAGAGCUCCCAUCGAACCCUACCUCCGUUGCAAACUUCAAUGAGAUGGAGGUGGACGACGACAAUAGAGAUGCGGCGGAUGAGGAGGGUAGCGGAGACAGCGGGGGUGAAGAGGAAGUGAAUAUCAAAUGGGAGGUUUGUAAGUGUGGUAAGACGUUCCAAGCCUCCGACUACAUUCCGUACCUGGAUAAUUGGAAGGCCAUCAAGAAGCUCAAGUCACAACAACACAUAGAGCACCGGGAGCAGCAUUGCCCCAAGCCUAUCCUUAGGUGUCUUGUGUCGCUACCGUGGAGGUACAAGGUGUCGGUUCCAUGGCCCAAGAGCAGAGACAUGGUGAGAUUGAUUCUUGGUUUCUCGUUGCUUCCGAUUCCCGUGUUGACUCGUACUGAUCUGUAAAGGAGGAACGUGCUACCACUUUGAGAAGAAUAUGUCAACAGAUUUGGUAUGAUAAUGUUCCUCACACCAAACUCGUUGAAUAUAAGAAAGACCAAAACUGAGUACGGAGGUGAUUACUUGGUUUUCCUUCAUAGUGGAACUCAAUUUAAAGAUGGUGUUUCUAAAUACAUCAAGUUCAUCGAGCAAGUGGGAAGCCACGGGAGCUCAAUAGGAUUCUUAGACCUGGAGGUUUCUUUGUUUGGUUGACAACACAUGUUUACCGGUAAUGAGAGGGACCAAAGCAUCUGGAAGUGUAGUGGCAUUUAUCAAUUUCUUUAAAUUUCAUGACCUUCUUUGUCAUUAGCAAGACUACGUGGCUUUCGGGAGCUACAUUAUCUUAAAUUUUUAUCUAGCACCCUUUUAAUUUUU